rnacentral:rRNA from 1 species
GAUGAACGCUGGCGGCGUGCCUAAUACAUGCAAGUCGAGCGAACGGACGAGAAGCUUGCUUCUCUGAUGUUAGCGGCGGACGGGUGAGUAACACGUGGAUAACCUACCUAUAAGACUGGGAUAACUUCGGGAAACCGGAGCUAAUACCGGAUGAUAUUUUGAACCGCAUGGUUCAAAAGUGAAAGACGGUCUUGCUGUCACUUAUAGGUGGAUCCGCGCUGCAUUAGCUAGUUGGUAAGGUAACGGCUUACCAAGGCAACGAUGCAUAGCCGACCUGAGAGGGUGAUCGGCCACACUGGAACUGAGACACGGUCCAGACUCCUACGGGAGGCAGCAGUAGGGAAUCUUCCGCAAUGGGCGAAAGCCUGACGGAGCAACGCCGCGUGAGUGAUGAAGGUCUUCGGAUCGUAAAACUCUAUUAUUAGGGAAGAACAUAUGUGUAAGUAACUGUGCACAUCUUGACGGUACCUAAUCAGAAAGCCACGGCUAACUACGUG